GCAGCAGUAAGGAAUAUUGGUCAAUGGACGCAAGUCUGAACCAGCCAUGCCGCGUGAAGGAUGAAGGUCCUCUGGAUUGUAAACUUCUUUUAUAUGGGACGAAACCUCUUAUUCUUAAGAGACUGACGGUACCAUAGGAAUAAGCACCGGCUAACUCCGUGCCAGCAGCCGCGGUAAUACGGAGGGUGCAAGCGUUAUCCGGAUUCACUGGGUUUAAAGGGAGCGUAGGAGGGCAGGUAAGUCAGUGGUGAAAUCUUCGAGCUUAACUCGGAAACUGCCGUUGAUACUAUCUGUCUUGAAUACCGUGGAGAUGAGCGGAAUAUGUCAUGUAGCGGUGAAAUGCUUAGAUAUGACAUAGAACACCAAUUGCGAAGGCAGCUCGUUACACGAAUAUUGACUCUGAGGCUCGAAAGCGUGGGGAUCAAACAGGAUUAGAUAC
rnacentral:rRNA from 1 species